UACGUAGGGGGCAAGCGUUGUCCGGAAUCAUUGGGCGUAAAGAGCGUGUAGGCGGCCCGGUAAGUCCGCUGUGAAAGUCCAGGGCUCAACCCUGGGAUGCCGGUGGAUACUGUCGGGCUCGAGUCCGGAAGAGGAGUGUGGAAUUCCUGGUGUAGCGGUGGAAUGCGCAGAUAUCAGGAGGAACACCGGUGGCGAAGGCGGGAUCCUGGGCCAGUACUGACGCUGAGGAGCGAAAGCGUGGGGAGCAAACAGG
rnacentral:rRNA from 1 species